rnacentral:lncRNA from 13 species
AUUUGGGGAGGGCAUGAGUUGAGUCAGAGAGCGUUACCCUUUCUGCACUAUGCACUUUAUAGACCGGAAGUGUCCCCAUGGGGAAUCCAGAGCCACACGUCCUCAUUGGUUGCAAGGUUCAGUGUCCAGUAUCUACUGCCAUGAUCAUUCUCAUUCUUACAUCCGCAGAGCUUCACAGAAUUCUAACAGCCCAGGUCAAAGUGGAGGUUUUGGACUCAGAGAGGGCUAGAUUCCACCUCUGACAUCAGCUGUGGGACUGUUUUUCCAUCUGGAAAAUGGAGACAACAGUAUCACCUACCUCAUGCUGUUGGACGGACAAGCCAGUGUUCUUGUGGUGGCUGAACACACACUUCAGCUCCUCUCACCUUAUGGCCAAGCUGCUUCAUUGUCUGAAACACAAACACAGCAUCUGUCAGAGCCAAGGGGGCACCUGGGAGCCGGGUUUCCAGAACCCCUAGCCUGGGUGUUUCAUACUGACCACACCCCAAGGAACCUGUAUAGAGCUGCCCGCUUACACACAUGGACCAUGACCACUGUUCUUCAGGAAUACGGACUCUUGCACACCUGGCAUGGUUUUGUGAGUGGAGGCAUCUCUGCACAGAAAUCUUACUGUUAUGCCUGUCCGACCCUGGUCUCCUCUCUCCAGUCUCCUGUGCCCACAUUCCAGGCUGUUCUAGGCACUCCUUUCUGGGAUGCCUGGGAGCAUCUUGAGACCUCACUGGAUGCAGGCCUGCUGAGAUGCUCUGGCCGUGUGGGUGGUCUGCUUGGCCUCGGGAUGGGCCCUCCCCACAGACUGAGCAGGCAUUGCAGGCAUGGUGAGGUCUGCUGGUGGCUGCCACCAGUCAUGCUUUUAGUAUUUUUUUUUUUCAACAAUACAUUUUAAAAAUGUUUGCAUAACUCUAGGUUCACAAAAAAAAUUGAGCAGAAAGUAUAGAGGUUCCACAUGCUCCUUUCCCAAUCGCCCCGUCUUCUAGUUUUCUCUAUUAUUUAUAUCUUGUGGCACUUUUGUUACAAGUGAUGAGCCAAUAUUAAUAGGUUAUUAUCCACUGAAGCCCACAGCUUACCUCAGGGUUGGCUCUUGGGUCUGCACAUUCAGUGGGUCUGGACAAACAUGAACACAUGUAUCCCAGCCAGCCAUGGUGGCUCACACCUAUAGUCUCAGCACUUUGGGAGGCUGAGGCAGGCAGAUCACCUGAGGUCAGGAGUUUGAGACCAGCCUGCCCAACAUGGUGAAACCCCCGUCUCUACUAGAAAUACCAAAAAAUGAGCCAGGCAUGGUGGUGCAUGACUGCCAUCCCAGUUACCCUGGAGGCUGAGGCAUCGGGAGGUGGAGAUUGCAGUGAGCUGAGAUGGCGCUAUUACACUCCAGUCUGGGUGACAGAGUAAGACUCUGUCUCCAGAAAAGAAAAAAAGACAUGUGUCCCCAUCAGAGUAUCAUACAGAGUAGUUUCGCCACCCUGAAAACACUCUGUGGUCUUCCUAUUCACCCCUCCCCUCAGCCCCAGAGACCACUGAUCUUUUGACCAUCUCCGUGGUUUUGCCUUUUCCGGAAUAUCAUGUGGUCGGAAUCAUGCACCAUGUAGCCUCUGCAGAUGGGCUUCUUUCACUGAGCAACACGUGCUGAUGGUUCCUCCGUGUCUUUUCAAGGCUUGAUGCCAAACUGCCUUCCAAAGUGGCUGCAGCGUUUUGCAUUCCCACCAUCAGUGAAUGAGAGUUCCAGUUGCUCCCCAUCCUCACCAGCAUUUGGUGUCAUCAUUGUUUUGGAUUUUAGCCAUUUCAUAGGUGUGCAGAUGUAUCUCCUUAUUUUAAUCUAAUAAACAUCUUAUUGAAGAAGAAUGCA